AUCAUCUACCAGCUGGCAAUGGAGAGCCAAUCAAUUGCUGGCUAUAGUAUACUCAACUUUGCAUUUAUGUCCACACCUGACUUCAGCUGUUGUCAAAAUGCAUGAACACGAAAAGAAAACAUCAUGAAAUACAACCACAGUGGAAGCAACUGGUGGGCACUUGGGAAAAUGCUAUACAUGUUUUUUUUUUUUUUUUUUUUUUUAAAAAUCUUUACAAAAUAAAGAAAGAAAUUCCACCUCUAUUUUUGUGUUUGCCACACCCUCUGCUUCUAAUUGGCAGCUCUCCCUCUGUCUUACUUCCUCUCUGGGUGUGGCUGGAUCACCUGACACCAAUCACCAUCUCCUACACAAAAUUGACCAGUUUAAGCCCAAACUCGCUGCCAGAAGGUAGACUCAGCUACCAGCCAAUUUAACUCAGCCUUUUCUGAAUUUUCUGCCAGUUUGUCUCUGAUCUGCUGCUAGCAAUAGUUUCUCCUGCUGCCAGUUCUGUCACCACUUUGUGGUCAAACCAAUGGCUCCCCUCCAGCUUAACCAGCAACACCUGGACUCAUUCACAAGCCUCCUGGUUACAUCUCUAUUACCGGACACCUGCCUCCCACUGCUACACCGCUUUGACCAUCUCUGUCCUGAUCUGAUCUACAGCUCAACCUCUGCCCCAGCUGCAACCAAUCUCCACAACUCCAGUCAGCUAAGUGUGUCUCUGAGGUUUUAAGCUGCCCCUACUUCCAUAACUAUGCCCGGCCUGCUGCUGGAAAACUGAAAUAAUGAAGAACUCCGGGCAGCUGCGGUACGACACACCUGUGAAUCAUCCUCGCAAUAAAAGCCGGUCUCACUCUCCACACCCUGCCAGAUCGUAAACUCUGCUUCUGCAACCGUCGACCCUGCUGCCCGGAUUCCUCCAGCCCAGUCCAUCCUCCACAUCUCCCGGAAUUCCUCCUCCGUCUGCGUGUGGAACACCCUGCCUGUUGCUCCCCUGGAAUCGGAGUCUCCUGCCCGCUCUCCACCGCCGACUCACCCCAUCCCGGACGCCCACCAAGCCGCUGAUUCCCGGUACCGUCACACCCCCCCCCCCCCCCCCCCCGACACUCCCCUUUAGUUUAUUCUCUGGAUCCUCAUCACCUUUUCGCUUCCGUUCAC